rnacentral:rRNA from 1 species
UACGAAGGGGGCUAGCGUUGUUCGGAAUUACUGGGCGUAAAGCGCACGUAGGCGGUAUGUUAAGUCAGGGGUGAAAUCCCGGGGCUCAACCCCGGAACUGCCUUUGAUACUGGCAUUCUCGAGUCCGGAAGAGGUGAGUGGAAUUCCGAGUGUAGAGGUGAAAUUCGUAGAUAUUCGGAGGAACACCAGUGGCGAAGGCGGCUCACUGGUCCGGUACUGACGCUGAGGUGCGAAAGCGUGGGGAGCAAACAGG